rnacentral:snRNA from 1 species
UUCGGCAAGAUAUUAUGUCUGUAU